rnacentral:lncRNA from 1 species
GGUUAAUAGUAUGAUAGUUUCAAGUUUCCAUGUGGUACUUGGCACCGUCUUCUGAUCCUCAGAAUGAUGUUGAUUAAAUCAGUUGACCAUGACGGGGAGAUUCUUAUAAAGGACCAGCAUCUCCUAGCAAAAUUGCAUCGGAAAAAAAGAUGGGUGAUUGUCUCUUCAGCUUGUAGAAUACAGUUGUCACAUGUGUAUGAGUCCAGUAGCAUAGCUCACUGCCUUAAAAAUGCCCGGGUAUUUAAUCUGUCCUUAAGUAAAAGCCAGAAGAAGACCUUGUGCUUGGGUUGACAUUUUGAUUUCCACAGCCAAGUGAAGAUGGGAUGAGUCCACUGGUUGCCCAUCAAGUGAGAAUAAAUCUUUUGUGAUGAAAAGAGGCUAGAAGAAGCAUUGCAGAGCCAUUUGUCUCUCUGAUUAUUAUGCGGAAGAUUAACCAAACGACCAUUCAAAGCUUGAAAUUGAACAAAGGCAUCUGCUGACAGUGGGGUGUGAAACAUCUCGUGCGAAGCUGCCAAUCUUGCUUGUUGGAUGGUGAUGUCCUUGCAUGAGGCGAAAGACCAAAGUUCUGGAUAUUGUGCCGAUUUGCAAAUACCAUCCCAGUUGUCAUGCCAUAGAAGCGUUGUUUUUCCAUCUCCGAUCUCCACCCGAGCAAUUCCCUUAGGUCCCGUUUGUUUCCUUUCAUUUUGAGGAAUUGGAAUCUUACUAAUAGAAUAUGCUAAUUUUUUAGAAUGUGACAUUCCACCACUUUCCAAAGUUAUCAUAUAAGCCUAUCUCAAAUUCAUGGGGUGAGAGAUAGAAAUUGAUUCUAUAGAUUUACAUGCUAUGUUUCCGAUGUACAACUUAUAGCACACUAUUCUACUU